rnacentral:rRNA from 1 species
UACGUAGGCAGCGAGCGUUGUUCGGAGUUACUGGGCGUAAAGGGUGUGUAGGCGGUUGUUUAAGUUUGGUGUGAAAUCUCCCGGCUCAACUGGGAGGGUGCGCCGAAUACUGAAUGACUUCGAGUGCGGGAGAGGAGAGUGGAAUUCCUGGUGUAGCGGUGAGAUGCGUAGAUAUCAGGAGGAACACCGGUGGUGUAGACGGCUCUCUGGACCGUAACUGACGCUGAGACACGAAAGCGUGGGUAGCAAACAGG